GGACACAGAGAGUCCACGAGCUCCUUUCCAGAGCUUACGGAGGACUUCCGGUCUUGCUGUCUGAAUUUUCCUUCCACACAACCACCAGAUUUGAAGUAUCUGCUAGGAAGAUGUAUUGGAAAGAAGUAGGCAUACUCUGGUUCCCCUUUCCAUCUCUCCUUUGGAUUCCUAGCCUUAGAUAUUUGGUUUCUUACCAGAAAAUCAAAUUAUAUAAAUACAAUUUUCUCUGCUACAAAAUAAUUGAAAUUCCUACCUGAAGGCCCACUUAUGUUCUAGAAAGUGGGGUCAGAACCAAGUUCUGGAAUGGUAGAAUUUAUGCAAAAUUCUUGCAGUGUUUAAACAUCUGCAAGGAGACACAGGUAAGCAUUUUAAACUAUUGUUUUUUCUGUGUGAAGUGUAUUUUUUAAAAAUGUGAAAAUGAAAGAAGGGUUGGCUGUGGACAAUGGACCCCAGCAUGACCAGGGCUUCUCUGUUUGGAGCUGUGAGGUCAGUGAGCUGGGGACUGCCAGGGAAGCAGGGACCCUGGCUCCUACAUCCCCUGCAGUGCCUGGUGACCUCCUUUCCUAAGGCCACCUUAUGGUAUGAUGUGACUGCUUCAGCUCUUGCCAUCUUGUCCAUAAUUCAGUGUUAGGAAGGAAGACGGGGCAAAGCACAUCCUGCCUUCUGAGCUGCCGUGCGAGGUUCCCAGUACCUGCCCUCUGUCUGCACUCAGGCUCCUGGGCACCGCCAGUUGCAGGGGAAGGGAGGAGAGUUAGUCUUGGUCCAGCUAAUAGGAGGAAUAGCCUCGGGGGGGGGGGGGAGUGCAACCAGAAGGACCCACCACAGGCUGGAAUUCACGGAGUUACAAGGAAGCCAGGGGGACGGGUCAACACCAUGUGGCUGUCCACAGAGGACUCAAGGAAGGAGGACCCCAGCCUUGAGAAGGGGGAGUUCCUGACCCGUCCCCAACACAGACGGCCUGCGGGGGUCCUGCUGAGCGAAGCUGGGUUGCCAGGGGAGGCAGCUGCCUUCGGAGUGCACGGUCUGAGGCCACCCAAGCCCGGGACAUCCUGAGCCACGUGAGUCAGACUGAAACAAGGAGCAGGACCCGAGGACCCUGGCUUGUUAAUUCUUACAUUCUCAAACUAUUCAUCUCUCCAGAAAGACAAAUGAACUCUUGAAUUCUGUGCUAGGAAGAAGUGGCUUCCUCCUGAAUACAUGGUUUGCUUCUGUGUCUUAGAAAAGUGCAGGGAAGAAGCAGCUCCUCACAGCACACAGGUGGCUUUUGUCUGUAUAAGUAGACAUGCACAGCACGCGUGGACAUGUGCACACGUGAUCAUGUGUAUUCUGCCCUCCGAAUCCACAGCAUCCGUACCUAGUACCAAAAAUGUUUAGAAGACAGUCACAUCUGCACUGAGCACGUACAGGUCCCCUGUCCUCGUUCCUUAAUGAUACAGUAGAGCUACCGCGGAUGUGGCAGUCUUGGUGUAUUAGGUGUCACUAGCCAUCCAGGGAUGACCUGAAGCAUGCAGGAUGUGCCUGGAUUCCGCGCCAGCACUACGACGUCUUACAGGAGGGACUUGGGCACCAGUGGAUUUUGAAAUCCACAGGGGUCCUGGACCCUCUCCUCCAGGACACCAGGGACAACGGAGGAUGGAAAUGAAAAACAAAAGCAAAGCCAAGAAGAGGUGCAGAAUCCCUGGCUGUGCGAAGCUGGGUUCAGGAAGAGAUGGAAAAUUCCACAGACCAAAAACGAUUAUUCAGAGAUGGGAAGCAACGUUCUGGAGUUCGCCAAGAGGGAACACAUGUUCUGGGAAGCGGCACCCGCCGGGUGGAAGGAGUCCAAAGCCAGAUUAUGCAAAUGGCCUUUGAGGAUCAGUUCCUGAGAAUGGAGGCGCUUCAGGGUCCAGGAGUCAGGCACACAUGGAGGGCAGGGAGCCUGAGCAAGGUCACCAGGCGUGCCACCGUCCCAGGGGUUGGGCCUCCUUGGUCGGGCACAGGGCUACCCAGAAUGCCCCCAGUGCCUGUCCUCAGAACAGGCACGAUGGAAAGGAAUCCUGCCAUGAGAGACUCAUCCCCAGUCCCCUGUGAGUGAGAUCAGGCUUUGCUGUCCCGAGGGCAGGUGUGUAGCCGCCUCCCACCUGGUCACUUCCACACAGCCUGCGCCAGGCCCUGCUGCGCCCACAUGGCGUCCACGCCCCUCUGCUUGGGAAUACAGGACAUGCGCACAUCCCCACGCUGGGGCGCCAUUCUGACAUUUAAUGCAGGAUUUACACGGACGUUUGCAUCACACUGAUCAGUUGGUCUAAGAUACAUCUGUUGAAAAAGCAGCAUCCUUUGUCUCUGUGUGAACACUUGUGAAGCAGCCCUGGGAUACACAAAUCUACCAAAGAAAAAGUACAGUACCCAUUUCUGUAUAAGAAUAUAUUAUUUAAAAGACAGUUUAAAAAUAAAAAUUCUGUACAGCAUCAUGAAUUCUGGUUUCUUUUUCUUUUUUCUUUUUUUUGAUCAGUGAACAAAAU